rnacentral:lncRNA from 1 species
AGCGGGAUGUGCUACCAGGCAGCAGGGGCCAUGCAGCAUCUCCAGACCGGUGCGGAGCCAUCUAGCGAUGGAGCCUCCACCAGCAGGGAAGCAGCGGCCGGGACCUCAAGGGGAACCCUGCAGGCCUGUCUUCGGACAGCGCCCUUCACCACAACCAGCGGGAUAUGCUACCAGGCAGCAGGGGCCAUGCAGCAGCUC